rnacentral:rRNA from 1 species
CCCUUAGAUGUUCUGGGCCGCACGCGCGCUACACUGACGAAUGCAACGAGCUUAUAACCUUGGCCGAAAGGUCUGGGUAAUCUCCAAAUUUCGUCGUGAUGGGGAUAGAUUAUUGCAAUUAUUAAUCUUCAACGAGGAAUGCCUAGUAAGCGCAAGUCAUCAGCUUGCGUUGAUUACGUCCCUGCCCUUUGUACCCACCGCCCGUCGCUCCUACCGAUUGAAUGGUCCGGUGAAGCGUUCGGACCGUGGCCUUUGGACGGUUCGCCGUCUGUUGGCUGCGGGAAGUUCGUUAAACCUUAUCAUUUAGAGGAAGGAGAAGUCGUAACA